UGGGGUGUAGCCAAGCGGUAAGGCAAGAGACUUUGACUCUCUCACGCGUAGGUUCGAAUCCUGCCACCCCAGCCA
rnacentral:tRNA from 1 species